rnacentral:lncRNA from 1 species
UAAGAAAAUGACACAUUCAGCGUCUUCUGGUUUAAGAUGAACAAAGGGAAUAUUUGAGAACCUGUUAAAAUCACCCAGCUCCAAGACACAAGAGCGUGUGCUGCAUCACGUGUGUGGAAAGGAAGCGGCUGUGUGGACGCAGGGCCCCUGUGCAGCUGAAGGCGCCUCAUGUGAUCCUGGGCUCACCCCGACUGCGGCCCCAGCCCUCUUGCCUGAGCGCCUUGAGAGGAGCUUGAGAAGUGUUUACCGGAUACACUUUCUACGCUGACGUCUCAGUCUGUUUCUUCAUCGGUUUAAGUAGAUGCAAAACGUCGUCUAAACGGUGCCACCAAGACAUUGUCUGAACGGAACCACCGACCCCCCAUUUUCUUCAGGUGAGAAAUUUUAUGCCGUUUCUUCCUGCCCUUGUGUCUCCACCUCGCCUCACUCCAGGCAUCGUCAGAACGGAGCCACUGACCCCCGAGCAUUUUUAUUGAUCACUGCUGCCCUCUGUGCUCGAAUUUUGUAUUUUAAUGAUUUUCUGGGGUCCUGAAUUUACAAAUGUGAAACUCAGUGUCCUGGAUUGUUCCGACCUCACAGCCAUUGAGACACAAUACGUCAGGACAUCGUGGCUCUAACACUUGUUAGAUGGACGAGCGUGGUGCUUUUAGAAGUGGGUCUCCGGCGAGGUCCGUCCGCUCCCGUGAGGAGGUGAGGGGCCUGUUCUGAGCGAUCCGCAGCUCCCUUUUGCUAACGGGGAUGUGGCAGCAGUGCCGAGCUCUGUCCCGGCCACGCUGGGUGCCAGCAGCCCUGGGUGUGAGCCUGCACGACUCUUGCCCACCCUGCAGACCUGUACACGGGUGCGUGACCAGGACGAGCGGCCAUCCCGGAGACCCUCAGGCAGGGCCGCCGCAGGCUCGAGGUGGGUCUCAGGCUGGGAGGGGCAGUCCUCCACCCGCUGGGGCAGCUCGGGGUGAGGGUGCGCCCAGGACGAUGUGGGUUGGCCAGGUGACAGCCACCUGUCCUUGUGCUCAUCCUCAUGAAGCCUGGCCACACGGGCCGUGCGUGAAGGCUCUGGUUUAGGGAAAUCGCAUUUUCAUGUCCCUCACGAUAUGGUGAAAACCAUGGAUCUGAGGAAAGAGGCAACCAGGCUCCCUGUUCCCACGCCCCGUGCUGGCGUGCCCUGGCGACAAAUCCCCAAAGUUGGAAAGUUCUCCCCAAGGGAGGAGAGAAGGCGGUGCCUCUGCCUUCGUUUACGGCCCGGGGUUGCCUGCGGGCUUGGAGGGGUGUGAAGGAAUAAUAGGAAGGGAAGCUCUGUCCACCGUGGAGGUGGCUUUGCCGCCUGGCAGGGAGGUACUGCACCUUGGUGGACUGCGAGCAGCUCCUGGUUCCCCCAGAGCCUUCAGCCCACUCUGGGACAGCAGCAGGGACGGCAGUGAUGGGGUUCGUGGCCGGGAGUCCUGUUCCUUGGGCUCAAGUUUGCUUUCAGAGAGCUCCGGCCCAGGAGGGGGUGGGCGUCUACCUGCCUGCUGUGGGGGAAGGGGCCCUGUAAUCCUGAGUCUUACUUGGAGCGGGACCUGGUGACCCCAGCCCACGACAGCCAAGCGCCAGCUGAGCUCAGGUGUGAGGAGAUCACAGUCCUCUGUAAUAGGCUGUCCGUCUGCUGGGUGAAGGCAUCCGCUGGGUGAAGGUGCAGACCCCUGGGGCUGGGGGACUCUGGCCUCCUGAGAAGCUGUGGACCCUGAUGCCUCCUGGGCAGGUAAGCCCCGUGAAGGAUGAGCUGGUCGAGGCAGUGACUCUCUAGGGGCUGCACAGUGCCCUGCCUGACAGCAGGUGGGGCAGGUCAGGGGAGGAGCCCCCAGUCCAGCCCAAGCCCCACAGGACCUAGAAGAGGCUGAGACUGGGCCCCGGCGCUGGAGCUUGACCUUGACCUUGGUCAGACCACGGAGCCGAUCCGUUCCACAGACUAAGAACCCACAAUGAGCAUUCGGCCAGGAGGAGCCCAGGGUGGGACGCUGGGCAUCACAAGCCCCAGCCCAGGGGCCAGGCUCAGGCACAGAGGGGAUGGGGCCUGGGGUGGAGUGGGGUGUGUGGCGGAGCCCAGUGCUGGGGGUGGUGCGUGAGGGACUCUGUGUGUGGUGAGCACAGGUGGGGGUGGUAGCAGUGGUGGGUGCAGCUUGUCCUGGGUCUCCAGGCGGCCCACAGCCAAGGAUCACCCACCACUGAGGGGAGCCAUCUCUGGCUGCAGAUGUGGACGUGGCUGUGGAAGUGGCCGUGGAUGUGGAUGUGGCCGUGGAUGUGGCAGGCAGUGCUGGGGGAGAGCUGGGAGGGCGGCUGACCCCCCUCCUCCUGAUGUAGUGAAGCCUGUGCCCUGCUCCCCUCAGCCUUGGGUCGGGUGUGGUUCCAAGGGACACAGAGUUGGGUUCACUGCAUUGGGAGAGGGUUCAGGCCACGGCCUUAUAGGAGGCGCUGCCACCCCCGCGUAGGUGGGCCCCACGCCCCGUGUUGGCCUCGGAACUGUAGGGU